ACACACACACAAAUACCAUCGUCUCGCGUCACCAACAUCGACGACUCAUACUCACUCCUCCAUCUCUCGACCUCGUUGGGCCACGCACACACACAACAUUUUCACCUCCCGUCACCACCAUCCGUGACUCAUGCACCCUUCUACCCCUCUCGGCCUUGCUAGGCCACACUCACAUACAUAUCCCCUCCCUGCUCCACCAACAUCGGCAACUCCACCCUCCCCUACCAACGGCCUCCCAAUUCCCCCUCCCAAACCGCAUGCUCCCAUCUCUCCUUAUACCAUGCUAGUCCCAAGCGUUCUAACUUGCUAACUCCUACUGACCACAUUACUCCCCUUCUCCCAUCCAAUCCCCCUCAAAUCCGGUUUCCUAGUCCUCACUGCCGUACCUUCCAGCUCCCUUCCCUCUCCCACUGCCCCCUACCCGCUACCUCCCCCAUCCUCCUGCCUCCUCCCGGUUCCUAUACACUUUUGCCUACCUAGGGCGAUUAACCUCUCAGCUUGCACCGUUUCACACCACAUACAUGCCCUCACCACCGUGCAUUUCGGGGAAACACAUCACCGCCUAUUAGCGACUCCCUCCACAUCCUCACCCACGCACACACCACGCACACACCUCUUCUGUUCUCUUGAGUUUUUAUCCCACCCGCGCCUCCUAGAUUAUUCUCUCACAUCCUCCUCACUCUGUUCUACCCGCACCACCCCCAUCCUUCCCCACGGCUCCCCACACGCCUCCAACACUGCCAUACUUUCCAUUCCUUCCCCGAUCACCUCCGUGAGCGCGCGGGACAACCCCACGUUUACGGCCUACCUUCACUGCUCCACUCCGUCGCGCCAUUGCCGACGCCGCACCUGCACAAAAUUCUCUACACACACACACCACACCAACAGCUCAGUUUCCAGACUUAGAGUUCACAGUUUUUGAUCUUCCACAUGUAAUCGAUGGCUUGCAGUCUACCCACAACUUGAAAUAUCUUGGAGGAGACAUGUUUGAAACGAUUCCUUCUGCUGACGGGAUUAUAUUAAAAUGGGUAUUACACGACUGGAAUGAUGAAGAUUGUAAAAAAAUACUUGAACAUUGUAGAGAGUCAAUUAUAAGAAGUGGUGAAAGAAGUGGCAAGGUGAUAAUAAUAGAUAUUAUCAUGGAGAAGCAAAAGGAAGAUAUAGAGUUCAUUCAAACACAACUCUUGUUUGACAUGGUGAUGAUGACCAACUUCCCUGGAAAGGAGAGAACAGAGGAAGAAUGGGCUAAACUCUUCGUUCUUGCUGGAUUCAACCAUUAUAAGAUUAUUCCCAUAUUAGGUACAAGAUCAGUUAUCGAGUUAUAUCUUUAAAAUUUACUUAUUUAUAUUAUGAAAGUGUGAGUUUGAAUUAUACUGUGUGUUUUGUGUAUUUUUAUUAAGAUCUUAUUUUGUAUUGCCACCUAAUCCGACCAUAUAUAAACUUUUAGUU